GCCAUGAUAGUAUAGUGGUUAGUACUCUUCGUUGUGGCCGAGGCGACCCAGAUUCGAUUUCUGGUCAUGGCA
rfam:Hanseniaspora valbyensis NRRL Y-1626 HANVAscaffold_4, whole genome shotgun sequence.